rnacentral:misc_RNA from 1 species
UCUCCGUUGGUGAACCUGCGGAGGGAUCAUUACAGAGUUGCAAGAGUUCCAAACCCUAUUGAACGUUACCUAUCCCUUUGCUUGGUUGAGGUGCGCGGGCCCCGCCCACGUCGGCCCACCUCCCCACGUGGGCGCCGGUGAUAGGUGAACCAAACCCGUGGAAUGAAUGGCCUCGCUAAGGCUUUUUUACUGUAUAAGUUAAAACUUUUAACAAAGCAUCUCUUUGUUCUUGCGUCGAAGAAGAAUGUCUCAUAUCGAGAAAGGCCACGGAUAAACCAC